AUGGGGAGGGGGCGCGCCCCCCACCCUCGUGGACAGGGUGUGGGCUCCCUGGCCUUGAUUCUUUCGCCAGUAUUUUUAUAUUUUCCAAAAGUUAUCUCCGUGGAUUUUCAGGUCAUUCCGAGAACUUUUGUUUUCUGCACAAUAAACAACACCAUGGCAGUUCUGCUGAAAACAGCGUCAGUCCGGGUUAGCUUCAUUCAAAUCAUGCAAGUUAGAGUCCAAAACAAGGACAAAAGUGUUUGGAAAAGUAGAUAUGUUGGAGACGUAUCACAUGUUAACGGAUCAUCUUGUAAUUGGGCCUAUCGUGGUCUGAUGUAUAUUUUGGCUAGUUGA
rnacentral:rRNA from 1 species